ensembl:lncRNA
GUGCGCCUCGGGCGCCUCUCACGUCGCAGCUCGCCGCAAUUAGCGUCAACUGUAACGUCACGUGCAUUGAUCAGCUCUUCUCUUUCAUUGUUGGAGUUUUGCGGAGAGCCCAUGCGCUUAUCUCGUGUGCGUGAACAUCUCAGUAUCAAUUUAUAAAUGAUGAAAAAAAAAUCAAAUUAAAUCUACGAACUCGACGAUUUCCAGUCCAUAACAUUAACACAAGGUUGGCUCUAAUUUAGACAGCUUUAAGGAAAGACUUUGUCGUACAAAACUGAUUGAAUAGACACAUUCAGAUAGCCUAUGGAGAGGCCAUAGUGCAGAGAUGGAUGUGGCUAAAACGGUUAUUAAACCAUUACUAAAACGGAUACUAUGGACUACCUUGUAAGAUUUCACAUGGGCCUAAUAUAUACACACUGAAGCAUGAAACGCCAUUAUUUAUUGAAAACAAAUCAUCUUUCUAUCGCCAAGCAAUAGAGUUCCUCAAGACAGCAGAACGGUUGCCAGGCAACACAGGCCAGCGCACAACCAAUCAUGCUCUGAGGACCGGCGUGAUUUGUAACAUUUAUCUGGACAUCACCAUUUAUUGUGUUAAAAGUAAUUUUCAAUUUGACAGUUGAGAUUGACAACUAUAAGAUUCGCAGCACGUUAAUAUAUAAAAAUAAAAAUCUAUGCGGUCACAGGCGUGUGUUUUUAGUAUUUUGCAACGAGUUCGCCAAUCAGAAUCAAGCACAGUGAUUAUUCGUUUUAUAAUACAAUAUCUAAUUAAAAAAUGUAUGAAUGAGAAUGUUUUUUUUGAUUUGAUUUAAUAAAGCUUUGAUGAUGUAUGCGGGAUAUCGCCAUCUUGUGAUUUGAUUUUGUCCACGCACCUCACUAUUUACAUUGAUAAAUAGAUCGGGCCUAAUACCUAAGCUGUAUUAGCCUGUUCUACUCAAUUCUCUAUAAUAGCCCUGAGCCGUUCUUAUUUAUUAUCCCCGGCUAAAAUAACCCAAAGCCCAACACGCUGACGGAUUAAACAGAAUUUUGACAUUUCACCUUGUGUGCUGCUGUAGGCUACCGCUAUUGUACCUACCACAGUACUUGACCGCAGUUAUCGACCACACGGGGGCAGUGAUGAACCGUUCCAUAGUUGAGGCACGUAAGGCUGUAGAUGUAACCCACAUUGAAAAAGGAGCGGCACUUACUACUACUUUACGUUACUUUCCCUUUUAAGAUGACCUAAAAUCGUUCAAACAGUUUUAUAGUCCCACAAUAAGCUUAACAUAAAACGUACAUAGAGAACUGUGAAAUGGUAGGGUAACUCUACUGCAGUGGUGCAGUCGUCUCUGCGGUUGUCCUUGGUUUCAGGCUCCAGUUUCCUCCCACCAAUUUGCUAGGUUACUUUGAAACUGUAAUUGCAUUGACACUGUAAUAUAGCAUAAGGAAGAAUAACACAACUGACCCAAACAUUGAUGAGACAUUGAUUGUUUGCAGGUGUAUACAAUCAAUAUAAGCAUCAAAGAUAAAGGCAUUUCAUAUAAGAAGUAUACAGUUUAGAGACAUAAUAGAGACUUAAUAUAUCAGACAUACAUUUUAUAAAGUUACGUCUAUCAAAACUGUGUAUUUGAUUCAGUCCAGUUACCUAAGAAACCACAGUAACCUAGCAGGUUGCCAUGGUUUUACGUUAUUCUUACCCAAAAUAUACUUUGUAUCUUGAACUAAGUUCAGUGGGGAAGAUAUACUUUUCAUAUUUUUUUCAAGAAGAAAUAUAUAAAGUUUGUACUUAAGUUCCACUUACCAUUUUAAGUUUAUCCAACUCUUUUUCCGUUAUUUUGUUUCGCCCGGAUUUUCAGCAUACAUAUGGAACGACCUUGGCACACCAAUCCAAAAGCUAAAUGCAUAUGUAAUACCUUCUUUUUAGAAUUGUUAAUCAAAACGUAACUGUUCUUAAUCCAUCAUGGGAAAAAUGUCUGAGUAGCCCAUUUGGAUUCUUGUAAACUCCCCUGAAACAUUAAGCUGUUGUAGUUCACAUCACAGAGCCCAAAUUCAUUGUUGUUUUUAUUUGAAUGCACCCAAAUAUGAACCUGUUUAGGUCAAACUAAAGGUCAGGAUUCCAUAGUUCAGUUGGCUGUUCACAAUAUGGCUGCUUUCAAAUGUUGUGUGUUGUUAGAUUGUAACACAAACACACACCCAUAAACCAAAUGGGUCGCACAACAGUGGUGGAUACAUGGUUGCUAAUCAGUGAUUUGAAAUGACAGCCGUCCAUCAAUCGAGUGACAUAGACGUGGAGGACAUCACACCAAGAGAUUAUGAGUUUCACAGUCAUCUUUAAAACCGACGAGUUCAGGGAUCCUUGGCUCGAGAGUGUCUCUCUAGACCAAGCUAGGGUGGAGGUAAAAGUGUAGCUCAGAGAGAAGAACCCCCCCUUCAUGACCACACCACCGUGGUGAAUGGCUGAGUCACUCAGCCACCCCGCCCCGUCCGCUCCACUGCUACAGUGCACGAGACGCUGGUGAAUGAAUAACAUCAAUGAUACAAAAAGGAUGAACUAUGUACAGUUUCAUACAAACAAGCUCCCGUGUAAGAAAAUGUAAAAGGAGGAGAGAGAGAGAGAGGGGGUAGGAUGUUAUUAGAGAAAGUCAAUGUGUGUGUGUAUGUGUGUGUGUGUGUGUGUGUGUGUGUGUGUGUGUGUGUGUGUGUGUGUGUGUGUGUGUGUGUGUGUGUGUGUGUGUGUGUGUGUGUGUGUGUGUGUGUGUGUGUGUGUGUGUGUGUGUUUCGUGCGUGUGUGUGAUCCAUUAGAGAAAACAAUACGUAGCACGGUGACUAUCAAGAUUUACCCACAACACACAGGGAGAGCGGGAACCAGGAUAGGUAGCGAUCGGAAAUACCCCAAACAAGUAUUGUGUAACAUAGAUGAACCGACCAAAACAAAACAACAAGCAUGGGCCAUGCGUGUGCAAAUCAAAACCAGCAAAACUGCUCAGCUACACACGAAACACGGUAUUUCACAUUGAUAAAUAAAUCAGCAUCUGUGGCCAUCACGUUCUCAACAAUAAAUAUACAAAGAAACAAACCAAUUGGUGUGACGGAAUUUUCCAUAGCUGGCCCGAGCCACAGGCUUUUCAUCGGAAAGACUUCCACAAGACAACAGUUGAAAUGUCCGUGGCAUCAUGUAAUGCCACCAUGAUGUUCUGAGUGAUUGGUGCAUCUUGCUCCUCCUAAGAACAGAAUCAGUUUGCAACUGGUCCGUUGAGAUGAAGCAGAGUUUUUCAUGUUGUGCAUGUGUGUGUGUACACGCCUGUUGACCUUCAUAUGAAGGCCUUUAUGUGCAUUCAUGUGUUAAUGUGCUAGUCGUGUGCAUGUGAGCAAGCAUGUGCAUCUCAGCUGCCCAUUCUUCCUCAAGUACAGCAGUUCCAAUCCGUUGGGUUCCCCUAGUGUUCAUCAUGAGUAGUGACAUGCAAGGACACUUAUCUUUGUUCUUUUAAUUUGAAUUCAGACUCUAACUGGAAAUAAUGGUGAAAUGCAUUGCUGCAGAUGUGUGUGUUAGACUCUAAAAAAAGAGGCCACUGAUCUCAAAUCCAAGGUGGAAAGCGAGUCGAGAGUUUCACUGUGACUUGGGAUUUAACGGAGAAGCAGUUCACAGGGAGAAACCCAGCGGCUCAUUCAGGGACACCCCGGUCACAGGGUGAACGUCGAGAACGAGAAGAAAUCCCCCAAAGGUUUUGUAUUUUCCCCUCCGAUCACAUCGCCGUGGAGCCUACGGCGUGACGUCCGGUUGGAGCCUCCCGUGAUCCAGGGUCAUAUAAAAAGUGGAUUCAAAAACGACACUCAAAGUCUCUGGAAGAAAAAGGAAUAGAAAAAUAUGACGAGAAAACAGACGAACAUGGCUAGCACAGUUCCUCGAUGUUGAGCUCAGCAGUCUGUAAGCGUCGCGUGUUUGCUGGUGGAGGAACCAGAGCAGAAGUCUUGGCAGAGUUAUCCUAUCGGUUUCCAGGGACGGGGUUCAGGAGAAGGUUAGGGACCGGUCAUUGAGUGUUGGUGUGUGUGUAAAGUUAUGUGUGUGUAUCUAUGUCUGUAUGUAUGUAUGCUAUGUGUAUAUAUUUUGCUAUGUGAGUUAAAAGUGUGUGCAUUCACGUAUGUAUACAUAUACUUUUGUGUGUGUGUGUGCGUGUGCGUGUGCGUGUGUGUGUGUGUGUGUGUGUGAAGGCAUGUGUAGUUCUUUUUGAAUAGACAUGUAUUUAUGUGGGUGUUCAGCUACAUGUGUGUAAAGGUUGGUGCGUGCACGCUUUGUUGUAAAUGUAUUCUGUGUGUGUAUGUUUAUUUGUGUGUGUGUGUGUGUGUGUGUGUGUGUGUGUGUGUGUGUGUGUGUGUGUGUGUGUGUGUGUGGCCUAGUGUGUGUGAGU